CUACGGGUUGCUGCAGUGAGGAAUAUUGCACAAUGGGGGGAACCCUGAUGCAGCAACGCCGCGUGGAGGAUGACGCAUUUCGGUGUGUAAACUCCUUUUAUAUGUCAAGAAAAUGACGGUAGCAUAUGAAUAAGCACCGGCUAACUCCGUGCCAGCAGCCGCGGUAAUACGGAGGGUGCAAGCGUUACUCGGAAUCACUGGGCGUAAAGGGCGCGUAGGCGGGUUGGAAAGUCAGGUGUGAAAUCCUACAGCUUAACUGUAGAACUGCACUUGAAACUUCUAAUCUAGAGUAUGGGAGGGGGAGAUGGAAUUAGUGGUGUAGGGGUAAGAUCCGUAGAUAUCACUAGGAAUACCUAAAGCGAAGGCGAUCUCCUGGAACAUUACUGACGCUAAGGCGUGAAAGCGUGGGGAGCAAACAGGAUUAGAUACCCGUGUAGUC
rnacentral:rRNA from 1 species